rnacentral:rRNA from 2 species
AUAUCAAUAAGCGGAGGAAAAGAAACCAACAGGGAUUGCCCCAGUAACGGCGAGUGAAGCGGCAACAGCUCAAAUUUGAAAUCUGGCCCCCGCCGCGGGGCCCGAGUUGUAAUUUGCAGAGGAUGCUUUUGGCGCGGCGCCUUCCGAGUUCCCUGGAACGGGACGCCAUAGAGGGUGAGAGCCCCGUCUGGUCGGACGCCCAGCCUCUGUAAAGCUCCCUCGACGAGUCGAGUAGUUUGGGAAUGCUGCUCAAAACGGGAGGUAUAUGUCUUCUAAAGCUAAAUAUUGGCCAGAGACCGAUAGCGCACAAGUAGAGUGAUCGAAAGAUGAAAAGCACUUUGAAAAGAGGGUUAAACAGUACGUGAAAUUGUUGAAAGGGAAGCGCUUGUGACCAGACUUGGGCGCGGCGAAUCAUCCGGCGUUCUCGCCGGUGCACUUCGCCGGGCCCGGGCCAGCAUCGGUUCGCGGCGGGGGACAAAGGCGCCGGGAACGUGGCUCCCCCGGGAGUGUUAUAGCCCGGCGCGCAAUGCCCCGCGGCGGACCGAGGUUCGCGCAUCCGCAAGGAUGCUGGCGUAAUGGUCACCAGUGACCCGUCUUGAAACACGGACCAAGGAGUCGUCCUCGUAUGCGAGUGUUCGGGUGUCAAACCCCUACGCGCAAUGAAAGUGAACGCAGGUGAGAGCCUCGGCGCAUCAUCGACCGAUCCUGAUGUUCUCGGAUGGAUUUGAGUAAGAGCAUACGGGGCCGGACCCGAAAGAAGGUGAACUAUGCCUGUGUAGGGUGAAGCCAGAGGAAACUCUGGUGGAGGCUCGCAGCGGUUCUGACGUGCAAAUCGAUCGUCAAACAUGGGCAUGGGGGCGAAAGACUAAUCGAACCUUCUAGUAGCUGGUUUCCGCC